CUACGGGGCGCUCCAGUGGGGAAUAUUGCGCAAUGGGCGAAAGCCUGACGCAGCGACGCCGCGUGAGGGAAGAAGGCCUUCGGGUCGUAAACCUCUGUCAGGAGGGAAGAACCCCAUGGAUGCGAACAGCGUCUGUGGCUGACGGUACCUCCAGAGGAAGCACCGGCUAACUCCGUGCCAGGCAGCCGCGGUAAUACGGAGGGUGCGAGCGUUAAUCGGAAUCACUGGGCGUAAAGCGCACGUAGGCGGCUUUGCAAGUCGGGCGUGAAAGCCCUGGGCUCAACCGGGGAACUGCGUUCGAAACGGGAUGGCUGGAGUUCGGGAGAGGGUGGCGGAAUUCCGGGUGUAGGAGUGAAAUCCGUAGAUAUCCGGAGGAACACCAGUGGCGAAGGCGGCCACCUGGACCGAUACUGACGCUGAGGUACGAAAGCGUGGGGAGCAAACAGGAUUAGAUACCCUCGUAGUC
rnacentral:rRNA from 1 species